rnacentral:rRNA from 1 species
ACUGACAGCCAUGGUUACCGCGGCUGCUGGCACGGAGUUAGCCGGUGCUUCUUCUGUGAGUGAUGUCCUUCCUGCCGGUUAUUGACCCGCAGACCUUCUUCCUCACUGAAAGUGCUUUACAACCCGAAGGCCUUCUUCACACACGCGGCAUGGCUGGAUCAGGGUUGCCCCCAUUGUCCAAUAUUCCCCACUGCUGCCUCCCGUAGGAGUCUGGGCCGUGUCUCAGUCCCAGUGUGGCUGAUCAUCCUCUCAGACCAGCUACGGAUCGUCGCCUUGGUGAGCCGUUACCUCACCAACCAGCUAAUCCGACAUAGGCUCAUCCGAUAGCGCGAGGCCCGAAGGUCCCCCGCUUUCCCCCGUAGGGCGUAUGCGGUAUUAGCCUGGGUUUCCCCAGGUUAUCCCCCACUACCGGGCAGAUUCCUAUGCAUUACUCACCCGUCCGCCGCUCGCCACCAGGGAGCAAGCUCCCCGUGCUGCCGCUCGACUUGCAUGUGUUAGGCCUGCCGCCAGCGUUCAAU